rnacentral:rRNA from 1 species
CACCCAAGACAACUUUACGGAGUUAACGAUUGACGGAGCGAAGCGACGUCAAAGCGUUCAUUAAAGUCGAGUUGGCUUAGGGAUACGUUCGUUGGGUAGGGGAGCGUUCUGUAAGCCUGUGAAGGUGGCCUGUGAGGGUUGCUGGAGGUAUCAGAAGUGCGAAUGCUGACAUAAGUAACGAUAAAGCGGGUGAAAAGCCCGCUCGCCGGAAGACCAAGGGUUCCUGUCCAACGUUAAUCGGGGCAGGGUGAGUCGACCCCUAAGGCGAGGCCGAAAGGCGUAGUCGAUGGGAAACGGGUUAAUAUUCCCGUACUUGGUGUUACUGCGAAGGGGGGACGGAGAAGGCUAUGUUGGCCGGGCGACGGUU